rnacentral:rRNA from 1 species
UACAGAGGUCUCAAGCGUUGUUCGGAUUCAUUGGGCGUAAAGGGUGCGUAGGCGGCGCGGUAAGUCGGGUGUGAAAUCUCGGAGCUUAACUCCGAAACUGCAUUCGAUACUGCCGUGCUUGAGGAUUGCAGAGGAGACUGGAAUUCCCGGUGUAGCGGUGAAAUGUGUAGAGAUCGGGAGGAACACCGGUGGCGAAGGCGGGUCUCUGGGCAAUUCCUGACGCUGAGGCGCGAAAGCGUGGGGAGCAAACAGG